AGGAUAUGGCGGAGUCCGGGCACUGUGUGGCUGGACCCCCAGCUCUGGGGCCACGCCACGGAACCGCUUACUGCUGCAGCUUUUGGGGUCACCCGGCCGCCGCUGUUACAGUCUUCCCCCGCAUCAGAAGGUUCCAUUGCCUUCUCUUUCCCCCACAAUGCAGUCAGGCACCAUAGCCCAUUGGGAAAAAAAAGAGGGGGGCAAAAUCAACGAAGGUGACCUAAUUGCAGAAGUUGAAACUGAUAAAGCCACUGUUGGAUUUGAGAGCCUGGAGGAGUGUUAUAUGGCAAAGAUACUUGUUGCUGAAGGUACCAGGGAUGUUCCCAUUGGAGCGAUCAUCUGUAUCACAGUUGGCAAGCCUGAGGAUAUUGAGGCUUUUAAAAAUUAUACAUUGGAUUCCUCAGCAGCACCUACCCCACAGGCGGCCCCAGCACCAACCCCUGCUGCCACUGCUUCACCACCUACACCUUCUGCUCAGGCUCCUGGUAGCUCAUAUCCCCCUCACAUGCAGGUACUUCUUCCUGCCCUCUCUCCCACCAUGACCAUGGGCACAGUUCAGAGAUGGGAAAAAAAAGUGGGUGAGAAGCUAAGUGAAGGAGACUUACUGGCAGAGAUAGAGACUGACAAAGCCACUAUAGGUUUUGAAGUACAGGAAGAAGGUUAUCUGGCAAAAAUCCUGGUCCCUGAAGGCACAAGAGAUGUCCCUCUAGGAACCCCACUCUGUAUCAUUGUAGAAAAAGAGGCAGAUAUAUCAGCAUUUGCUGACUAUAGGCCAACUGAAGUAACAGAUUUAAAACCACAAGCACCACCACCUACCCCACCCCCGGUGGCCACUGUUCCUCUAACUCCCCAGCCUUUAGCUCCUACACCUUCAGCACCCUGCCCAGCUACUCCUGCUGGACCAAAGGGAAGGGUGUUUGUUAGCCCUCUUGCCAAGAAGUUGGCAGUAGAGAAAGGGAUUGAUCUUACACAAGUAAAAGGUACAGGACCAGAUGGUAGAGUCACCAAGAAGGAUAUUGACUCUUUUGUGCCUAGUAAAGCUGCUCCUGCUCCAGCAGCUGUUGUGCCUCCCACAGGUCCUGGAAUGGCACCAGUUCCUACAGAUGUCUUCACAGAUAUCCCAAUUAGCAACGUUCAUCAGGUUAUUGCACAACGAUUAAUGCAAUCAAAGCAAACCAUACCUCAUUAUUACCUUUCUAUAGAUGUAAAUAUGGGAGAAGUUUUGUUGGUACAGAAAGAACUUAAUAAGAUUUUAGAAGGGAGAAGCAAAAUUUCUGUCAAUGACUUCAUCAUAAAAGCUUCAGCUUUGGCAUGUCUAAAAGUUCCCGAAGCAAAUUCUUCUUGGAUGGACACAGUUAUGAGACAAAAUCACAUUGUUGAUAUCAGUGUUGCAGUCAGUACUCCUAUAGGACUCAUCACACCUAUUGUGUUUAAUGCACAUAUAAAAGGGCUAGAAACCAUUACUAAUGAUGUUGUUUCUUUAGCAACCAAAGCAAGAGAGGGUAAACUACAGCCACACGAAUUCCAGGGUGGCACUUUUACGAUCUCCAAUUUAGGACUGUUUGGAAUUAAGAAUUUCUCUGCUAUUAUUAACCUACCUCAAGCAUGUAUUUUGGCAAUUGGUGCUUCAGAGGAUAAACUGGUUCCCACAGAUAAUGAAAAAGGGUUUGAUGUGGCUAGCAUGAUGUCUGUUACACUCAGUUGUGAUCACCAGGUGGUGGAUGGAGCAGUUAGAGACCAGUGGCUUGCUGAGUUUAGAAAGUACCUUGAAAAACCUAUCACCAUGUUGUUGUAACUAACCCAAUAGAAAGAAAAGAGAGC